rnacentral:rRNA from 1 species
GACGUAGGGCGCGAGCGUUGUCCGGAUUUAUUGGGCGUAAAGAGCUCGUAGGCGGCUUGUCGCGUCGUCUGUGAAAUCCCGCGGCUCAACCGCGGGUCUGCAGUCGAUACGGGCAGACUAGAGUGCGGUAGGGGAGACUGGAAUUCCUGGUGUAGCGGUGAAAUGCGCAGAUAUCAGGAGGAACACCGGUGGCGAAGGCGGGUCUCUGGGCCGUAACUGACGCUGAGGAGCGAAAGCGUGGGGGAGCGAACAGG